rnacentral:rRNA from 1 species
CAGUAGCCGCGGUAAUACGUAGGUGGCAAGCGUUGUCCGGAAUUAUUGGGCGUAAAGCGCGCGCAGGCGGAUCAGUUAGUCUGUCUUAAAAGUUCGGGGCUUAACCCCGUGAUGGGAUGGAAACUGCUGAUCUAGAGUAUCGGAGAGGAAAGUGGAAUUCCUAGUGUAGCGAUGAAAUGCGUAGAUAUUAGGAAGAACACCAGUGGCGAAGGCGACUUUCUGGACGAAAACUGACGCUGAGGCGCGAAAGCCAGGGGAGCGAACGGGAUUAGAUACCCCUGUAGUCCCUGUCUCUUAUACA